GAAGAGUUCACUAUGGAAGGGGGGAGCGCAAAAAAUGAAAGUGUCCCCACGGACAAUGUGACAGGUUAAGCCCUACAUAACUACACAAGACUUACAUAAGCAGUGCUGUCAUGACAGUCGCUGAUCGAAUGGGCUUGGUCCGUAGUGGGGGUGAUGAGGGAGAAAGUGGAGCACUUGCUGACACGCCCUGACCUGACAGUAUCCCAAUCCUGACCUUAUCCUGAACCAUUGUCUUUUGUUGGAGCCCUCCCCGCUUUCAUACCGGUAACAAGGGAUGAGUCUACUGUGUUUACAGUUUAGAUAUAACCUGAUCUAAUUAUCUAAACUUGAAAUAUGGUAUGCUCUUCUCUAACAUCAAAUAACUAGUUCUUACUGUCAAAUUUAAAUUUCUCGCAUCCUAUUUAUGGAUGAGAGUUCAUCUCUGUUUGGCAACAUUAAUUAUUUAUUAUGUAAUGAUAUAUAUCAUUUCUUUCUAUUUUAAAACAUAAGCAUGAUAAAUGCA